rnacentral:lncRNA from 1 species
UGGGCUAAGACUACUUAACCGCGUCCUUGUUUUGCAGUUGUUUUGGACUAUAGAAACGACGAUUCCUUGCUGCCGCAGCGGGGGCUUGAGCCUGAGGUGGAGCUCAACUUGCAAGAGAAAGCGUUGCUGCUGAACCUGAAGGUCUCAUUGGAGGAGAUUGAACCGCCGCCGCAGCCAGAGCAAGAGCUUGAGUCGGAGUCGGAGUCGGAGCCAGAGGAAGACCUUGAGUCCGAGCCAGAGCAAGAGCUUGAGUCGGAGUCGGAGUCGGAGCCAGAGGAAGACCUUGAGUCCGAGCCGGAGCCAGAACCAGAGCCGGAGCUAACAUUCUGGGAGAAGACAUGGCAGGUUCUUCACAUACUUCGCUGCAAAGGGUUGGCUGACCUUGACCCCAAGAGGAAUGCCCUUGUCCCUACCCGCGUCCACAAGUUCAAC